CCUACGGGUUGCAGCAGUGAGGAAUAUUGGUCAAUGGGAGGAAUCCUGAACCAGCCAUGCCGCGUGCAGGACGAAGGCUCUACGAGUUGUAAACUGCUUUUGUACCGGGGUAAAAUGCCUUACGUGUAGGGGUUUGAAAGUACGGUACGAAUAAGGAUAGGAUAACUCCGUGCCAGCAGCCGAGGUAAUACGGAGGAUCCGAGCGUUAUCUGGAUUCAUUGGGUUUAAAGGGUGCGUAGGUUGUUUUAUAAGUUAGCGGUGAAAUACCUAUGUUCAACAUCGGGGCUGCGGCUAAUACUGUAGGACUAGAGAUCGGAUGCAGCAGGCGGAAUGUGUAGUGUAGCGGUGCAAUGCAUAGAUAUUACACAGAACACCGAUUGCGAAGGCAGCUUGCUAGGCCGGAUCUGACACUGAUGCACGAAAGCGUGGGGAUCGAACAGGAUUAGAUACCCGUGUAGU
rnacentral:rRNA from 1 species